rnacentral:rRNA from 1 species
CCUACGGGAGGCAGCAGUGAGGAAUAUUGGUCAAUGGACGGAAGUCUGAACCAGCCAUGCCGCGUGCAGGAAGACGGCUCUAUGAGUUGUAAACUGCUUUUGUACAAGGGUAAACCUGAAUACGUGUAUUCAGCUGAAAGUACUGUACGAAUAAGGAUCGGCUAACUCCGUUCCAGCAGCCGCGGUAAUACGGAGGAUCCAAGCGUUAUCCGGAUUUAUUUGGGUUAAAGGGUUCGUAGGCGGGUUUAUAAGUUGGAGGUGAAAUGUCCGGGCUUAACCCGGGAACUGCCUCUAAUACGGUUGAUCUAGAGAGUGGAUGCGGUAGGCGGAAUGUAUGGUGUAGCGGUGAAAUGCUUAGAGAUCAUACAGAACACCGAUUGCGAAGGCAGCUUACCAAUCUAUAUCUGACGUUGAGGCACGAAAGCGUGGGGAGCAAACAGGAUUAGAUACCCGGGUAGUC